rnacentral:lncRNA from 1 species
CUCUCUUGACUCUCAUUUUUUUUUCUCUCUAUUAUUUUCAAAGCUUCGACUAACUUAAGUAUUGAAGUGAACCAUCUUUGUAUGUACUUCAUCGCAUUGUGGAUCUCAUGCCGCAUCCAGCUCCAGCCAUAUUAGCACCACUCUAGAGCCUUGCAGCAAUAGUAAUAAUAUUAUAUAUUAUCUUAUAUGUAAUAUAAUAAAA